UACAGGGGGUGCAAACGUUGCUCGGAAUUAUUGGGCGUAAAGCGCGCGUAGGCGGCCGCUUAAGUCGGAUGUGAAAGCCCCUGGCUCAACUGGGGAAGUGCACCCGAAACUGAGUGGCUUGAGUACUAAAGAGGGUCGCGGAAUUCCCGGUGUAGAGGUGAAAUUCGUAGAUAUCGGGAGGAACACCGGUGGCGAAGGCGGCGACCUGGGUCGAUACUGACGCUGAGGUGCGAAAGCGUGGGGAGCAAACAGG
rnacentral:rRNA from 1 species